UACGUAGGGGGCAGGCGUUAUCCGGAUUUACUGGGUGUAAAGGGAGCGUAGACGGCAUGGCAAGUCAGAUGUGAAAGCCCGGGGCUCAACCCCGGGACUGCAUUUGAAACUGUCAGGCUGGAGUGCAGGAGAGGUAAGCGGAAUUCCUAGUGUAGCGGUGAAAUGCGUAGAUAUUAGGAGGAACACCAGUGGCGAAGGCGGCUUACUGGACUGUAACUGACGUUGAGGCUCGAAAGCGUGGGGAGCAAACAGG
rnacentral:rRNA from 1 species